rnacentral:tRNA from 1 species
GCGGGUGUAGCUCAAUGGUAGAGCGUCGGCCUUCCAAGCCGAUUACGUCAGUUCGAUUCUGAUCACCCGCU